GAACUUCCUACAGUCUGAACUGGCUGUCCUCGCUUUGUUUGUAGACAGCCACGGACAUGAGUUAGGAGAGGAAGACUCGGAGGGAUCACUGGCCCCAAGUGGAAAUCGAGGAACCUUCCCGACCCAGGAGGGCCCCGAAGAACUCGAGGAGCAGGACUGCGGAGAACAACGGGCUGGGAGGUGCACUUUCCCGGGCUUAUCCUGUCACUAGACAUCUGGGCUAUGACAAGAGCAGGACCUCCCGGUAGGAAGACAGAGCAGGACACAGGAGCCGGGAGCCAGCGUGAAGGGAGGAGGCAGUGAGCUGAAAGGGGAAAUAAUGGAGCCAGAACGAAGACCAAAUAACGCAUGAGACAUGUUCCAUAGUGAACGCGGAGGGCA
rnacentral:lncRNA from 1 species